GUACUCGCUUUUUAUAUUAUUCACUUUACUACAACUUGUACUACAUAUACUUUUUAAUAUUACAUAUCACUUUUACUAUAUUUUUACUGUACA